AUACUUACCUGGCUAGGGAGACACCGUGAUCAAGAAGGCGGUUCACCCAGGGCGAGGCUCAGCCAUUGCACUCCGGCUGUGCUGACCCCUGCGAAUUUCCGAAUGUGGAAAUCUCGAUUGCAUAAUUUCUGGUAGUGGAGGACUGCGUUCGCGCUCUCCACUG
rnacentral:snRNA from 8 species